CCUACGGGAGGCAGCAGUGGGGAAUUUUGGACAAUGGGGGCAACCCUGAUCCAGCAAUGCCGCGUGAGUGAAGAAGGCCCUCGGGUUGUAAAGCUCUUUUGUCAGGGAAGAAACGGUGGUUCCUAAUACGAGCUGCUAAUGACGGUACCUGAAGAAUAAGCACCGGCUAACUACGUGCCAGCAGCCGCGGUAAUACGUAGGGUGCAAGCGUUAAUCGGAAUUACUGGGCGUAAAGCGUGCGCAGGCGGUUAUAUAAGACAGAGGUGAAAUCCCCGGGCUCAACCUGGGAACUGCCUUUGUGACUGUAUGGCUAGAGUGUGUCAGAGGGGGGUAGAAUUCCACGUGUAGCAGUGAAAUGCGUAGAUAUGUGGAGGAAUACCGAUGGCGAAGGCAGCCCCCUGGGAUAACACUGACGCUCAUGCACGAAAGCGUGGGGAGCAAACAGGAUUAGAUACCCUGGUAGUCCACGCCCUAAACGAUGUCUACUAGUUGUCGGGACUUAAUUGUCUUGGUAACGCAGCUACGCGUGAGUAGACCGCCGUCGGGAGGUACGGUCGCGAGAAGUUAAACUACGAAAGAAGUUAGUACGGCGUGAGACGUAGACCGACGGACGACGACGAGGGAGGAGGG
rnacentral:rRNA from 1 species